AUUGAACGCUGGCGGCAGGCCUAACACAUGCAAGUCGAGCGAGCGGCGGACGGGUGAGUAAUGUCUGGGAAACUGCCUGAUGGAGGGGGAUAACUACUGGAAACGGUAGCUAAUACCGCAUACCAUCAGAUGUGCCCCGAUGGGAUUAGCUGGUAGGUGGGGUAACGGCUCACCGAGGCGGCGAUCCCUAGCGGGUAUGAGAGGAUGACCAGCCACACUGGAACUGAGACACUGCCCAGAUUCCUACGGGAGGCAGCAGUGGGGAAUUUUGCACAAUGGGCGCAAUCCGUAUGCAGCCAGGCCGCGUGUGUGAAGAAGGCCUUCGGGUUGUAAAGCACUUUCAGCGGGGAGGCGUUACCCGCAGAAGAAGCACCGGCUAACUCCGUGCCAGCAGCCGCGGUAAUUC
rnacentral:rRNA from 1 species